GGAACUUGAUUCUGUGCAAUUCUGUACUUAGACACUUUAUUUAUUGUAGCUUUUAACAAGUGCAAUUACAAAACGAUUUUUUCAAUAGUAUUCAAAGAAAAAUCAUUCAAGCACAUAUCAUUUAAUUUGAUACAUUCAUUAUGCAGCUAUUGUGAUUUUGUUGGAAUAAUGAGAUGAAUUAAAUGGAGAAUAUCUAAGAAGUAGGAAAGUAGUAGAUGAAGAAGGAGAUAGAAUAGAAAGAGGUUAAAAAAUACAGAAAAAUGGAAGGGCAGUUCAACGUUAUUACAUUUCCACGUGGACGUCAUAGGAAGACUUUAAUUUUAGAAAAUAUCAACUGGAAAUUUUUAUUACAAUAAGAAAUAAAAUAGAACUCAAUUAAAAAUUUUAAUUACCGCAAGAUUUUUUAUGGAUAUAUUGCAGGAAUUAGAAUGAUGUGAAUAGCUGAA